UAUAAGAACCAUAUUAUAAAAUGCAAAUAGUUUUGAAGUUAAAUUUAAAGUUUUGCUUUUGGAGAAAAACACUUUUAAACUUUAAAUAUAGAGUUUUGGAAACUUCAAAAUAGAGUUCCUUUUUGGAGAUGCUCUUAGCUAAAUGUCCAAUUUCCCUAAUACCUAUACACACUGUGGUUUUUCUAUAAUAAUUAUAUUUUGUCCUUUCAGCAACCGGUGAAAUCUACAGACAAAAAAAAAAUUAGUAACUAUUACCUGUCAAAAGUAAUUCAUGGCCACUUGAUAUUCACAUCCUUUCUUUUUUGUAAUUUUUCUCGGAAACUUUCUACGAUUAUCAUGAUCUCACUCAGAGAGUAUAUCAAUAUCGUCACCACCACUUAAAAUCCGAGAGUAUUUUGUGAUCGAGAAACUUCUCUAAAAGUCCUAACCUUCUCUACAUCUGAAACCGCCAAAGCGCCGCCGCAAUUACAACUGAUGGGGCGAGGAGCAUCCCCCGGACCGAUUCGCCUCCACAUCACCGAUUCGACGAAGAUCCUUCUUAAAUUCUGUUUGUUCAGGUGCUCUGCUUAAUUUAUCAACCGCAAUUACAACUGAUGCAGCGAGGAGCAUCACCCGGACCGAUUCGCCUCCACAUCACCUAUUCGACGAAGAUCCUUCUUAAAUUCUGUAUGUUCAGGUGAUUCAGCUGAUGGUGACAAAUUAAAAUAUGAAUGACAUGCAUGCACCAUGAGAUCCCACUAACAGUGCUGCAACAAACAAGGAAGUCACAUACACAUGAAGUGGAAUUAAGUGGCGUUACUAUUCCAUCGACGGAUUCUUGUUCUAUUCUACAUGGACAUAUUAUGUAAUGAGAUAUAUUUUGUUACUAUAUUAUUUUGUCAUGUUUCAUUCCAUUUGACGAUUAUUAAAAGUGCUAUAUUUUGUUUAGAAAUAUAGUUUGUAAUUUUUUUAAGUUUUAAUUAUGGUUACAUGUUUUUGAAUCUGUAAAAAUUGUACUAUAUUUUAUAUUGUAUAGUUGAAUAUUACAUAAUAUAAUUUAAUAUUACAUAA